GAUUAUGGCUCAGGACGAACGCUGGCGGCGUGCUUAACACAUGCAAGUCGAGCGAUGAAGCUUCUUCGGAAGUGGAUUAGCGGCGGACGGGUGAGUAACACGUGGGUAACCUGCCUCAUAGAGGGGAAUAGCCUUCCGAAAGGAAGAUUAAUACCGCAUAAGAUUGUAAUAUCGCAUGAUAUAGCAAUUAAAGGAGUAAUCCGCUAUGAGAUGGACCCGCGUCGCAUUAGCUAGUUGGUGAGGUAACGGCUCACCAAGGCGACGAUGCGUAGCCGACCUGAGAGGGUGAUCGGCCACAUUGGGACUGAGACACGGCCCAGACUCCUACGGGAGGCAGCAGUGGGGAAUAUUGCACAAUGGGGGAAACCCUGAUGCAGACCAACGCCGCGUGAGUGAUGACGGUCUUCGGAUUGUAAAGCUCUGUCUUCAGGGACGAUAAUGACGGUACCUGAGGAGGAAGCCACGGCUAACUACGUGCCAGCAGCGGC
rnacentral:rRNA from 1 species